AAAAUGUUCUCUUCCAAGACCAACCAACCUACUGCGACAACCAUCACAAAGACCACCAGCGACACAAAGCCCUCCAACGGCAGCGGGCGACCUGUGGCGCAGUCCGCCACACCUAAGCCCCAAGGUCUCAACAGACCUUGCAAUCUCAACACGAAGGAUCAGGAACACUUGCUUCUGUGCGAUCUCAAUUAGAGAGUUACACUGCUUUCCACACAAUGACCCCAGUCAUGUGAGAGAUACAGCUACAGCUUGACAUGCAACCCUCUGCUAUGCACUCCCACCAGGCUAAUCUCACACGUGCAUGGAUUGUGCAGGCGAUACGACAGCAAAGCUACCUACACGCCGAGCCAAGAGACAAGUACGGCAGCAACAGUGUUUACUUUAUGAAGAGAAGCGACAAUAGAGCAGUCUGGAUAGCCGCAAAUGGCAACAAGACAUACUCCAAGUAGCUAUAAGACAUGAGUGAUCGUAAGUUGUGU
rnacentral:misc_RNA from 1 species